rnacentral:rRNA from 1 species
UACGGAGGGUGCAAGCGUUAUCCGGAUUCACUGGGUUUAAAGGGUGCGUAGGUGGAUUGGUAAGUCCGUGGUGAAAUCCCCGAGCUUAACUCGGGAACUGCCGUGGAUACUAUCAAUCUUGAAUACUGUGGAGGUAAGCGGAAUAUGUCAUGUAGCGGUGAAAUGCUUAGAUAUGACAUGGAACACCGAUAGCGAGGGCGGCUUGCUACACGGUUAUUGACACUGAGGCCCGAAAGCGUGGGAGCAAACAGG